GACGUAGGUGGCGAACGUUAUCCGGAAUUAUUGGGCGUAAAGGAUGCGUAGAUGGUGUAGUAAGUUAUCGGUGGUAAAUCGAGGCUCAACCUCGUGGAAGUCGGUAAUACUGCUAUGCUAGAGGAUAGGAGAGGUUAACGGAACUCCCCGUGGAGCGGUGAAAUGCGUAGAUAUAGGGAAGAACACCAAUAAGGCGAAGGCAGUUAACUAUUCUAUUCCUGACAUUGAGGCAUGAAAGCGUGGGGAGCAAAACGG
rnacentral:rRNA from 1 species